rnacentral:misc_RNA from 1 species
AACGUAGGGGGCAAGCGUUGCCCGGAUUCACUGGGCGUAAAGCGGGUGUAGGCGGUCCGUUAAGUCGGAUGUGAAAUCCCAGGGCUCAACCCUGGAAUUGCAUCCGAUACUGGCGGACUUGAGGAUGGUAGAGGUCGGUGGAAUUCCCGGUGUACCGGUGAAAUGGGCAGAUAUCGGGAGGAACACCAGUGGCGAAGGCGGCCGACUGGGCCAAUCCUGACGCUGAGACCCGAAAGCCAGGGGAGCGAACCGG